CGCUUUCUGUACAUGUUCUUCUGGAAGAAUAUUCAGGAUGGCAUGUGUUUUGUCACACUGUGCAGCCUGGUAUAUCCUGGGCAGGCUGUAUUUGUGGCUUCCAGUGGACAUUUUAAUCAAACCCAAUUCCCUUAGGAAUAUUGUUGGCAGAGAUCUGUUGCUAAUAGUGAUAACACUGAACUUUUCAUAGUCCACACCAUCCAGAGACUGAACAUGUCACCCAUGCAACUUAAAGGAAAUCAAAUGAUUUUUUAAGAACAACAAUGAAUUGAUUUUCCCCCCAUUUGAGGACCUCCAUGUGUUCAGGUGUUUUCUUUGAACAAGAGUACCCGCUGGCCAGAGGGAGACAAACAGAUAUUAACCAUACACAACCAGGGUGCCCAUUUGGGAGUAGGUGCUGUUUAUGUGGAUGAGAAUAAUUAACUUUGGAAAUGCUGACGAGGUCAUGUUAAGGCCCUUUCUAAAUUAUUGGUGCCAACUUCUUCCCAGGCCCCUCAUUCCAUCUCCUGCAGGAUGCAAUCAACCAAUCUUCAGAGUCACUGUUGAUAGUACUGUGAAGUGCCGAAAGCAAACAGCCCGGGCAUUUGUCUCUCUUUUGCACCCUGGAGGGUGACAGCUUCUUGUUCUUCUCAGGUGCCACCAUCCCCCCCUUUUUUUGUCUUUAGUCUGGUGAAACUAAGAAAAUGUUUUAAAAGACUCCAAUUACUGAGAAUUCCAGGGUUGGCGCUCCCCACAUUUCUUGAUUUAUGCUUGUUAAUUUUGUCUGACUUGGCUUGCUUAGAUUCCCUUGGACAUAUGAUCUUUAUGAAUAAAACAUUCAAGGGCCAAAUGUUUUCAUGUGACAACUUGAUGUGAGUAUCAGCGGAGACUGACAUAAAGCCUAGAUGGGGGCAGGUGCUUCUCUGUGAAGUAAGACCUGGCAGCAGCUGUGGUUGGUGGGAGCAGUCCUCAAACCUGGAGUCCAAAGACGUGAUUCAUACACUAGUUCUGCCACGAACAAGACCCUCGAUCAGGCAAAUAGCGUUUCCUUCAUUUCUUCAUAAAAGAGUAUGCUGUGUAUACUAGCAUCCGUGAUUUUGCUGUCUUUCUCUGGGGGAGGAUUAUGCAUCUCUGUCCCGUGGUGCCAGGCAUGGUGAUAUGAUUUUUGGCACCACUCCCUCCCAUGGAGAGAGACUAUGAGUCCCUGCUCUGAUGACAUCAGAUUUGGCUGAGAGAUUUGCUUUGGCUGGCAAAAUUGAGUAUGAGGAAAUGUGCCACCAUUGUAGAGACACUUUGAAAGCCAUUGUGUGGUUCUGCUGUUGGUGCUUAGGGUGCACAAGUCACAGAGAAGGGCUGCAGCAGAUCCAUCAGGCCUGUGUGACAUGAGUGAGAAACAAACCUUUGUUGAGGUCAACGCUGCGAUUUUUCAGGCUCUAGAUGAUUGUAGCGUUGCUCAGCUUAAACUGAUUUACUGCAAUUGGGAAUGCUAUGGUCUUUCGGAUGGGCUUUCUGUUAGAUUUCUUUGAGGGGGUUAAUUUAAAAGUGUGUUAUGAACCUAUAAAGUACCAGGUACUUAGUACCACACCGUUUUACAAAGAAAUGAAGGAAAAGCUAUUGGCUCCCUAUAUCUCUAAAUUCAUGGGCCCAACACUGAUCUAUGAGAUUGGCCACUGGGUAGCUCACAAGCAAGUCUUUGAAAGCAUUCAGAGUUCCUAUGAUUUCACUACUGGGCAAAUUGUGCUAAUAGCACAAGGGGUUAUUAAAAAGAUUAUAUUAAUGCUCAAGGAGGAAAAAGACCAUAAAGGACUUUGCAGAACUGUGGUCUUGAUAACAUCCAGUAUGAUUCCCUUGAUAAAUGGCUUGACUGAAGUUAGAAAACGGGGCCGCCUCAUGAAGCUCAAACUGAUCCUCAGGGCGCUUGUUCUAAUCAGGAAUAGUUCAGUUAUCAGAGAGAGAAACCCACUCUUUCCACAGCAGUUCAUCCAGGAUGGGGAACUGGAAGGAUGCAGGGCAUCUCGGGAUCUGGAAGGUACAUGGUCCUUCUCUCAUCUCCAUUUCUCACCAGGAAUGUUCCAUGGCCUUCUCUUCAAGCUGAAUUUGCUGGCAACUCUGGUGCCUCCAGAGUGGGUCUUAUCUGGUUCUGCCAUACCACUAUGUGGAUGUGGUCGUGUUCUAUGUGACUGUGAUGGUUGCAUUUGUGUGUCAACUUGACUAGGCCAUGGGGUGCCUGGAUUGAUGGUCCAACAGUAUUCUGGGUGUUUCUGUGAGGAUGAUUUUCAUGAGGUUAACCUCUGACUGCGUAAAGCAGAUGACUUUCCCUGCAGUGGGGGAGCCUCAUCUAAUCAGUGGAAGCUCUGAAUACACCAAAGGACCGAUUCUCCCUGGGUGACACACCUCAUGACACCUCUGUCCAUUCAGGAAAAGAGUUUUUAGGCUGUUUUGAGACCACCAUGGGGUUUAUUAUCUCCCUGUGUUUCCCAGGAGACUAGCACACAGAUCGGCUUUCCUCUUACCUUCACUUGGCUUUUCAAUAAGAUAAAAGUAGAAACGGCAA